CCAAUAGCGUAUAUUAAAGUUGUUGCAGUUAAAAAGCUCGUAGUUGAAUUUCGGGAUCAAGUUGUUGGUCGUGCCUUGGUACGUACUGGUGACAUUGGUUUCUCCCUUCUGAAGAACCUUGAUGUCAUUAAUUUGAUGUCUUGGGGAAUCAGGACUGUUACUUUGAAAAAAUUAGAGUGUUUAAAGCAGGCUCACGCUUGAAUACAUUAGCAUGGAAUAAUGAAAUAGGACGUUUGAUUCUAUUUUGUUGGUUUCUAGGAUUGACGUAAUGAUUAAUAGGGAUAGUUGGGGGCAUUAGUAUUCAAUUGUCAGAGGUGAAAUUCUUGGAUUUAUUGAAGACUAACUACUGCGAAAGCAUUUGCCAAGGAUGUUUUCACUAAUCAAGAACGAAAGUUAGGGGAUCGAAGACGAUCAGAUACCGUCGUAGUCUUAACCAUAAACUAUGCCGACUAGGGAUUGGAUGAUGUUAAUUUUUUAAUGACUCAUUCAGCGCCUUACG
rnacentral:rRNA from 1 species